GGGGCUGUUUUGGAUUCGACGUAAUUUAUAAAAAUUUUAAAGCAUGCCGAGGAAAGGUUGGCCUCGUUAAAAACCUAUUAUAAAAUAAAAGCAAAAAAAAAUUAUUCUUUAGCAGCUUAAAUUUAAUAAAAAAAUAAUUAAAUGUAAAUAAAUUUACUAUUUAAAAUAAAUAUUUAAUAUUAAUAAACUAUAAUUAUUUUAUAUAUGUUUAAAUUUUUUAAAAAAAAUUAAACUAAGCAUGUAGUAUUAAAAUUAUAAAAAAUUACGGACGCGGGUUCAAAUCCCGCCAGCUCCAA
rnacentral:tmRNA from 1 species